UGUAUACUCCGUGCCGGUUGCGGUGUGAAGGCGGGGGGUGUGUGCUGUAUUCGGAUUUAUUGGGGUUAAAGGGGUGGUAGGUGGGUUGGUGAUGCAGCGGUGAAAGUUGGCAGCUGAACGGUAAAAAUGCCGUUGAAACUGUCGGACUUGAGUGUAAAUGAGGUAGGCGGAAUGCGUGGUGUAGCGGUGAAAUGCAUAGAUAUCACGCAGAACUCCGAUUGCGAAGGCAGCUUACUAAGCUACAACUGACACUGAAGCACGAAAGCGUGGGGAUCAAACAGGAUUAGAUACCCUUGUAGUC
rnacentral:rRNA from 1 species